CAGUAAGUUCCAGCCGCAGCUGUUCAGUCCGAGUUAUGGUCGCAAAUGUACAAUAAAUGGGUCUAUUUUAUUUACCCUUAAUCUGAUCACUAUGGAAAUGAAGCUCCUCUUAGUUGCAGUUAUAUUCUUCUCUGAUUUCUCCCUCUGUGUAAAAGUUAACCAGCCUCCAUCUGUAUUCAGUGAACAAGACAAAGCUGUAACUUUGCAGUGCGAACAAGAUGACGAGCUGUUUUACUACAUGUACUGGUACAGACAGAGCAGCAGUGGGAAAAUACAGCUGGUCACAUAUUCUAUUAAUAAAGGCUUGUGGAGCAUUGAGGCUCCUUUCAACAAAUCCAAGUACAACAUGUCCCGGCCUGCAGUGCUCAAAUCUUCACUACAGAUACACAGUGUUGAAGCUGGAGACUCAGCUGUGUAUUACUGUGCCUCUAGUAGAGCACGGUGGUUGACAAAGCCUCAGCAGCUACACAACAACCUCACCAAGAAGACACAACAUAGAGGAGGGAUGAGUGGGGAUGGUCAACGUGUUGGACUCCAGAGGGCACUGAGCAGGAUUUGGUUGAAGUGACAAUAGACAAACAUCAGUGUGACAUGAAAAUAUGCAAUAAAACAUUUUUAAAAAGCAGAAUGAAAAAUCUAUUAGUUCAUAAAAGAUACAAGACCCAAGUCUCCACACUUCAGCGAUGUUUCUGCAACACCACAAAGCUGAUCAGUGAUAAGUGAGCAGGUGUUAAUAUGGUAAACAUUAUUUGCCACAUUCUGUAUUAUUGUCCUGAACAGUGUCUCAUGUGUCACACUCUGAUGAAGUGUUGGCUACUUUAUUUUACUGUAACUGUGCAGCCUGACAAAACCAAGUACAUGCAGUUUCAGAGGUUAUCACACACUGACCUCUGCAGGGGCCACGUGGGAUUACAGGCUGGGUAAAACGGUAAAUGGAAGCCAAAAUGACAAUAAAGGAAUCAUUUACAUAUGACAUAUAUGUGACAUCUGCAGAACAAAAUUAUGUAGCUAAAUAUAAAAGGACUUAAAUGUUUCAGUUUCACAUGGUUUGUGCCACCAGUCCUUUGGUUAAAUAAUAAUUUUAAUUAAAUCUUGGCUGUGCACUGUAACA